GAUACAUUGUAGAGAUGGGGCUCACACUACUUACUCAAGCAUCCAUGCCGUUACGCUUCUAUUGGGAAGCCUUCAUGACAUCUACCUUAAUCAUCAAUGGAUUACCAUCCUCAGUACUCAAAGGAAAAGCCCCUGUGGAGAUGUUGAUGAAAAGAAAAUUUAAUUUUAAUGAUUUAAGCUGUUUUGGGUGUGCCUGCUACCCAUGCCUGAGGCCAUACAACUCAAAUAAAUUUCAGUUUCGAUCUGAAAAGUGUGUUUAUUUAGGGCCCAGUCCAGUACACAAAGGGCACAAAUGCCUAAAUCAAAAUGGGAGGAUUUUUAUUUCAAGGCACGUUGAAUUUGAUGAGUCUUCUUUUCCUUUUGCAGAAGGUUUUGGAUCAAGCAUUGUGUCAUCACAGUAGCUCGGCCCACCCUCAAUCUCAUAGCUUCCUAGCCCACCUUGGGCCCAGCCCACUCAUCCAAACGACCCUCUCUCCCCACCUAUGGGCCCAACUGAUACUCCUACAGCACCGCCUGUGAGCCCACUCUCUCAGCCCACUACUUCUCGUCUCCCUACCCCCAUUCCAAGCCCAAUAUCAUCCCUUAGCUUCUCACUGUCCACGUGCUUGCCCCUUCAUCUUUCACCAAACCCUAUCACCCCUCGUUCCGAUGAACACCAACCCUUCAUCUCACUCUUCCCUGCCUCAUUCGGCUACCCCUCAUAAUCCUCUCAUUCCCAGUCACCCUAUGAUCACCCGUGCAAAGGCCGGUAUAUUCAAACCCAAAGCGUGGAUGACAACCUCUAGUCCUGAUUGGACACAAACAUAACCCAUCCGCAUUUCUGAUGCUCUUGCUACCCUAGUCUGGAAAAAUGCCAUGGACCUUGAAUACCAAGCUCUCCUCAUUAAUAAGACUUGGGUCCUUGUUCCACCUCCACAAAAUGCCACUAUUGUUGGCAGCAAAUGGGUUUUUCGAAUCAAACGAAAUCCUGAUGGCUCGAGUUGUUCAAAGGGGUUUCAUCAGAGUUCUGCCAUCUAUUUUUUGAGACAUUCAGUCCCGUGGUGAAUGCGUCAACUGUUCGGGUGGUACUAUCAAUUGUUGUCUCCUGUAAUUAGGAGCUUCGCCACUUAGAUUUCAAUAACGCUUUUCUCAAUGGAAAUCUCGAAGAGGAUGUAUAUAUGGCCCAACCACCCGGCUGGGGUUUUCAAAACAGUCGGUCCGACUCAUCACUAUUUAUUCACAGGCGAGGAUCUUCCAUCACUUUACUCCUAGUAUAUGUUGAUGAUGUUAUUCUCACCGGCAACAAUCCCUUCUUGCUUGACCAUCUAACAAGAACUCUUCAUCAAAGGUUUACCCUAAAAAAUCUUGGGCAGUUUACUUAUUUUCUGGGUGUACAGGUAAUUCGAACUCCUUCAGGCCUUCUCAAUCAAUCCAUUUACAUUGAUGCCCUCUUGCACAAACUGAACAUGAGCUCACUUAAACUCGCACCCACACCAUCUGUCUUGGGCAAAAACUACUCCAAUGAUGGCACCCCUAUGGCAGACCCAUCUCUUUAUCGAAGUACUAUUGGUGCUUUACAAUACUUAACCAAUACCGACCUGACAUUACCUACAUUGUAAAUCAUCUCAGUUAAUUCCUCAAACAGCCAUCUGAUAUCCAUUGGCAAGGUGUGAAACGGAUUCUCCAUUGUCUAAGUGGUACGAAAGACAUGGACUCCCCCAUCUGAUAAUCUCAAUAUCACUGCCUUCUCUGAUGUCGAUUGGGCAUCCAACAUCGAUGAUCGGAAAUCUAUUGCUGCCUAUUGUGUCUAGUCUAUAUAGGUAAUUCUCUCAUUUUGUGGUCUUCUAAGAAACAACCCACCAUUGCCCGAUCAAGUACAAAAUUCGAGUAUCGAGCCGUUGCCCAUACAUCUGCUGAAAUAAUAUGACUCAGGAAACUGCUAUAUGAACUUGGCUUACGAAAUCAGGCAACCCCUGCUGUCUGGAGUGAUAACCUUAGCGCCGGUGCCCUUGCAACAAAUCCCAUCUUCCACGCCCGAACCAAGCAUAUUGAAAUAGAUGUACUUUUCGUUCGUGAUCAAAUCCUUCAAGGCCUUCUUCAAGUUCGGUACGUACCGUCUGCUGAUCAAAUCGCCGACUGUCUCAUGAAACCUCUAUCUCAUUCUCAGUUUGCCUACCUACGAUCCAAACUCGGGAUAACCAUGUUACCCUCUCGUUUGAGGGGGGAUAUCAAGGUAUCAGGAGAAAAGAAUUUGUGAAGAUAUUUGAAUUUCUUUGUUACCAAGUCACCCUAUCUGCGCCUACCAUGUGGCUGCUCUUGUACGAUUCUUUUAUAUAUAUAAAUUGUGUAUAAUACCCUUUUAUUUCUUAGGGUUUACCAUUCUUCUCCUAUAUAAAUAGAAAAUGGUAUCCUAACUGUAAAGUGUGCAUUUAUACAGAAUGGAAGAUUUUAAAAGAAUUGAUUGCCUCUGAAA